rnacentral:rRNA from 1 species
AAGUCGUAACAAGGUCUCCGUUGGUGAACCAGCGGAGGGAUCAUUAUCGAGUGUUACAACUCCCAAACCCUUUGUGAACCAUACCAAAUCGUUGCUUCGGCGGGACGCCCCGGGUGCCAUCGCGGCCCCGGAACCAGGCGCCCGCCGGGGGUACCAAACUCUUGUUUUUUCACAGCGAGUAUCUUCUGAGUGGCACAAUAAAUGAAUCAAAACUUUCAACAACGGAUCUCUUGGUUCUGGCAUCGAUGAAGAACGCAGCGAAAUGCGAUAAGUAAUGUGAAUUGCAGAAUUCAGUGAAUCAUCGAGUUUUUGAACGCACACUGCGCCCCUUGGUAUUCCGGGGGGCAUGCCCGUUCGAGCGUCAUUUCACCAAUCAAGCCUGGCUUGGUAUUGGGCACCGGGGGCGACCCGGGCCUCAAAGUCGCCGGCUGGUAAGCUCUGAUCUCAGCGUCGUGAUCAAUCAAAUUCGCUUUGCAGAGGAGUGAGCCGUGCCGGUUAAGAAUUAUCUAAAGGUUGACCUCGGAUCGGGUAGGAAUACCCGCUGAACUUAA